AGGACGAACGCUGGCGGCACGCCUAACACAUGCAAGUCGAACGGAGAUUACUUAGCUUGCUUGUAAUCUUAGUGGCGGACGGGUGAGUAACACGUGAGCAACCUGCCUCUGAGAGAGGGAUAGCUUCUGGAAACGGAUGGUAAUACCUCAUAACAUACCGAGACCACAUGAUUUUGGUAUCAAAGAUUUAUCGCUCAGAGAUGGGCUCGCGUCUGAUUAGCUAGUUGGUGAGGUAACGGCCCACCAAGGCGACGAUCAGUAGCCGGACUGAGAGGUUGAACGGCCACAUUGGGACUGAGACACGGCCCAGACUCCUACGGGAGGCAGCAGUGAGGGAUAUUGCACAAUGGAGGAAACUCUGAAUGCAGCGAUGCCGCGUGGAGGAAGAAGGUUUUCGGAUUGUAAACUCCUGUUUCGAGGGACGAUAAUGACGGUACCUCGGGAGGGAGCUCCGGCUAACUACGUGCCAGCAGCGGC
rnacentral:rRNA from 1 species